UCUAACGACGAGUUUCUAGGCUGAACUCUGGCUGCAAAUUAAAUUUGCUACCGCUAGUGUGCGUCUAGCUUUCUAGGCUAGCAUACUUCCUUUUUGCUGGAAAUAUUUAAUUUAUUCCUCUGCUGCUAUUCCAGGAUAACGAUCAUUAUACUAUAGCCGGAUGAGGCCCCAGCUGAGACACAGGGAAGAUGUUCCCUGUAACCUCAUCACUCUUGGCUGCGGCCAAUCCGAAGACCUCAUCCUGUGUCAUGCUGCUUGGGCACCUGCCAAUUUGUCCUCAUUUGAAAAAAUCUCCUGGGUUGAUAAAUGGCCGACCUCUCUUAUACCAUGACUAACAGAGUGCCCACCGUGCACAGGGUCGCAGGAGAGGUGUUCAAUCUUGUGUGCGGAAUAAUAAUAUACGUAUCGGCCAGCUGGGUGAGCCUGCAGAUUCCAAGAGGACAUAUUAGGCUCAUGCAUGACUUGUUUACCUUUUCAAAAAGGCCUUAAUUUUACUCAUACUGCCUGUGCUGCAGUACCCUCUGUCUGAAACCAGAACCCAGUCUGCUCUGAUGCUUAGAGAUGUCCCGCCUCUUAACAAAUUAAGUACAAUGUGUUGGACCCAAGCCCCCAGUCGUACUAAACUCUAGUACGUGACGUCAUUUUUGCCCAGAAAUACUUUUUCCCAUUGACCUACACACUGAAAGGAGGAUCUGUAAAUCAGGGUCAACUUUUUUUGUUGUUGAAUAAACCUGUCAUGAUUCCUGUUUUAUUUUGAAAUGUUUUCCCCUCUUGUGUCAUGUUUAGUUUCACUUCCUGUCUGCUUUUCCCUCCUGUGCCUGAUUGUGUCAUUGUGUUCACCUGUUGCCCCUGUGUUUCUCCUCCCCUCUCCAGCUGUGUCUUGUCUUGUGAUUACCCUUGUGUAUUUAAUCUUAGUUCCGCUUUUGUCUCU